rnacentral:piRNA from 1 species
AGAGGUCAAUCAUUGUGUCUCUC